AUUUUAUGGAAAUAUGGAAGGAAAUAUGAAAAUAAUCAAGGGUGUGUAACAGGCAGAAACAGUGUGAGACCUCAGAUGAAGUAAAAAAUGGAGAGCUGUAUGAUAUUGCUGGGGGAUUGAGAUGUGUCCCCCUCAAGUGGAGUACAAGUGUACCCUUCUCACCUGUGUGGUACCACACCUUAGAAUACUUCUUCAGUUCAUACCAUGUUCGGAGGAGCAAACUGUUCUGCUUGUGAUGGCAGGUGGCCUGUGAACACUGGACAAUCUGUCCUUGGAGAACUGAAUUCACAAACAAUUCCUCCUACCACCUGCUGCCUGCUGCAGGUAACCUUAGGUGCAUCUCUCAACCCUGUAGGAUGUGGAGAGUCUCACAAUUUUUGUAAGGUACACAGGCUUUUUUUUUUUUUUUUUGUUAUGAGAUGACUGGAAAAUAGUGGAUGUAUUACUGAUUUAUAUUUUCUCAUCUCUGAGUUCAAUGUGUGAAACACUAAUGCAUUAGAAAUAUUUAUGGAUGCUAUAAAGAAGAUUAAUUCACUUGUAAUGACCACUGAUGAGCUGUUUUCCUUAAUGCUUCAUUUUUCUCAUGAGAAGAUUUAAGUACCUAUCACUUUGUAUUCUGUGGAGAAGAUACAAGGAUUUUAUUUUCUUCUUACAUUUGCCAGUAUUGGUGUGGAAGAAAGCUGAUGACGUCCUGUGCUGCAGGAGGCUGAAGACUUCCAACAGAUCAAGGGAGGUGAUCCGUCCCUGCAUUGAGCACUGGAUAAAUUGCAUUGAUGUGGAAAUGGGAAAUGUCUCCUCUACUUACCUUGUUCUCAUCCCAACCCUCAAGCAUGUCAGAAGUGAAAUUUUGAUGACUUCACACAAUGCCAGGCAGCAGAGAAUGAGGACGGUGCCUUUCUAUAAUCCUGAAGCACAAAUGUAAAGAUUCAUCUCUGAUUAUUCCUUCAAGGCAAGGCCGUUUCUGACCUUUCUUGAAAAUCUACAUCAUCCAGAGCUCCUGCAGAGCAAGUAUAAGAUGUACAGAAAAUCCAAAUCCCAAUCCAAUGUGUAUGAUAUGGUUGGCUAGUCCCAAACUCAAUUGAUGUUUGGGAGAUGAGAUUCCAGGUGUUGAUCUGAAAUCUGCUAAUUUCAGUAACUUCAAGAUAAAAGCUAGAGUGAGCUGUGAGCUGUCUUUCCCAGAGCCAGCUAGAAGCAAUAUCAUCCCUGAAGUUCCAUCAGGAUCUAGUCCACUUAACAUUUUGCUUUUUUAACUUAUAUUUUUCAUUUUUGCCUCUUUUCCUUGGACACAUCUUUUGACCAUUUUUUUUAGUUUGGUUGUAGAUUAUAGAUAUGUGAAUGAUAUUAUUCAUCAUUCUUUGAGGAGCUUAUGAAGACAUCUAUUCAAACAUAUGGAUAGGUCAUAAUUUUUGUGCUGACAGCAUGAAAGUAGGUACAGUGCUGGGCAAGAAAGCUAAACUUUGUAUGGUUUUAUAUUUUUUAAAAAAGAAAGAAUGAAAGACAUCCCACAUACCACCAAGCAAUUGAGUAUAUAAAUACAGACUGUCUUUUACCCUCUACUUUUUAAACUCAGAGUCUUGCAACCUCUGCAUUCAAUGCUCUCCCGUCAAAUGAGAUUGAUUUUUUAUGCUGGUAACUACCAAGCAUGGAAGAUCACAUCCAUAAAUAAAAUCAAUAACUUUACUCUAGUUAGAGCAAAAUUAAUUGAUUUUGCUUACUACUUGUGGUCCCAAACUCUCCUAGCUCUCACUGGGGGAUUUGUUUAAAAAAGGCUUGUUGUGUGUCCUCUCCUUUGCCUUUGCACUAUUUAUAUUAUUCUCUGCUCUGAAAUUCUAAAUUAAGAAGCCACUAAUUUCUUCUGCCUUUCCACACUGAACGAAAGAGUACUGUAUUUAAAAAAAACCAAAAUGCCGCUCAUUAAUCAUCAAUAGACUGAGAAAAUAGCUUCCAAUUAGCUCUAACCAUGAGCAAUGAGUGGGAUAGAAAGAAUUCUUUAGAAUGACAUUGUGGCUUUUAAACAUAAACACUUGUUUACUCAAAAAGUACUCUGGGACUUAUCAGAAUGACAGUCUCUUUAGGUGUUCUUACAGCCAGGAAAUUAUUUAUUUGCUUUGUUCUAUUUCUCACAAGCUGAUCAAGGGGUAGAAGCUGUCCGCAGUUUUGUUUUCUUAGUGAAGUUUUAGAGGACCAUAUGAAAUAUAUUCAGUUAGGAUGGUCAUAUUUGUCCUGUAGUUGUACUGAUUGAAAUCCAAAGAUUGCUAAUGAGGAGUUAUGGUAGAUUUACAACAGUACAAAGAUCACAAGUGAGUGUAUGAUGGUGCAUCUGAAUUUGUACAUCUAGGGAAAGGCAUUUAUUAAUGAUGUACAGUAUGAGCCAGAAUAUUCACAUACUAAUAAUGACCUAAAAGAUAUGGAGCUACUUUAAGUCUUUUGAUGUUUUAAGUCUUUUUGCUGUUUAUUACAGCUAAGCUCUGUUUCUUAUCUUAGAAUAUAUAAAAUAUGAAUAAUUUUGAAUCUUCUAUCCCAUUUUCAAAAUAUCAGUUCAUAAUGUGUCAUGGUUUAAUGCAGCCAACAACCAAGUCCUGCACAGCUGCUCUCUUACUUCUCUGACAGUGGGAUGGGGGCAGAAUCAGAAGAGUAAAAGCAGGAGGACUUGGGGGAUGAGAUAAAGAUAGUUUAACAGCUAAAGAAAAAGCUGCACAUUCAAGCAAAUCAAAACAGGGAAUUCAUUCAUCACUUUGCAUGGGCAGGCAUCUGUUCAGCCAUCCUCAGGAAAACAAGACUCCAUUAGCUAUAGCAGUUACUUGGGAAGGCAAAUGCCAUCACUAUGGAGGUCACACCCUUCUUUUUCCUUUUUCAGCUUUAUAUGCUGAGCAUGACACCCUGUGCUACCUGCUGUGAAGGAAAUUGACUCCGCUCCAGGCAAAAUGAGCACCAAAUGAAAUUUGAUUAAACAUAUAGGUUGAGAUAAGAUAAAAAUGAAGAGAGGCAUAUAUUUUGGUAUCCUUGAUUGAUUAAAUCCAUACUUGUGAAGGUGAAACAAUCUGAUAUGAUCUGUUAUUCAUACAUUAGAAUGACCAUAUUAUAUGGAAUUGAUGUGGGAUCCUGAAAACCCUUGCUGGAAUUCAGCCUUAUAAAAAGUGAAUAGCAGGAAGUGGUGUGUUUUUCUGGGAUCUUAUACAGACUUUCUUUGCAAACAACACUUGUUCCCUUGAAAUUCUUCUGCUCAAGUCACUAAUAUGUGGUGGGGCACCUACAUAAACUAACAGGAUUUCCACAUGAAGCUGUAUUUAAAGGGCAAUUACUAUUACCGUGUAUGUCUGAAACCAGAACAUUCAGUCCUAUAAUUCUCAGUGUUAAGGCUAUUAUUAAGAUUGAAAAACUUUGGUUACUGUCUUUUGAGAUGCGAAACGAGAAUUAUAUUCCCAAUUUUGCUGGGUUUCUAUUUUCUCCUCUAGAUUUUCUGAGCAUAGAAUAGAAACUGUGGGUCAUAAAAAUACCAUCUGCUGAGACAAAGACACAGACUACAUAAUUUCUGAGAAGGUGGUACAGCUGCCAGUACUUCCACUGUGUAAUGUGUUGCAAUUAAGGAUAUGUGGUUGAAAAUGCUAUAUAGCCUUCUGGCGUUUUUUCCACAGAAAGGAUAAGAGACAACUUUCACUUACAAUUACAGAAAGUUUUUCCCUUAAAAUUGUUUUGAAGACUUCUGUUUCUGGAGCUGAAAGACAUCAGAAUUCACAUAUAUUCAUGAUAUAUUCCCGACACUGAUAUAUUCCCUGUUCUGAUGCUUCUUAAAACUUUAAACAAAAACACAGCAACAGAAUUACAUCAGACAGGAAGGUAAUAUUAAUACUAGGGAAAUAUGUAUAGAUACAGUGACACUCAGGAUAAUAUUACCAAAGAUUGUGCUCUAAUUUGUCACAGCAGCUUUACAUAGUUAUUAACCUAACAAUCAUGUUAAGGACUGUAUCUGCAGAGCACUUAGACUCUCUAAGCUUUGUCCUUGUGGGACAUAUGGCUCCAUAGAAAGGAAAUGUAAGACACCUUUUUGGCACAAUGGAAGGAGUCAGUGUGAAACUGAACCUUUCAUCUCCAAAUCACUUCAUAAAAAAACCGAGACACUGUAAAUAUCACUACCCCCAUUUCCAUAAAUGAGGAGAAUAUAAUUUACUUUCACACUGUCAUGAGUCAUUCUGAGCAAUUUCUGGACUGCUCAGUUUCAAUUUCUUUGCUCUUGACAAAAAUAACACAGUGAUGAAUGGACUACUAUUAUAGCCUCUUGCCCAUAAUUAUUUCAAGCUACAGCCUAUUUACAUAGGACAACGUGUGUGUGUGUAGAAAAAACCUGCAAAGGUAGGACAGCAUGUGUAAUUUGUGGUAUUCAUGCACAUGUAAAGCUGAGGGAGAAUUAAUUAGAUAUAUAAAUUAUUUGUCCUUUGUUGGAAGCUUAAACUUUCAAAUUCACAAUGCUAUUUAAUCUGGAUGGUUAGUGCUAUGGUUGUACAUCCUAGUAAUUUUAACUUCAUGUAUAUAUAUUUAAUUUUCAUUAAAAAUAAUUAACAAUAUGAGGCAUAUAGGAUUUUAACUCCAAAGACAAUUGCAUAACUGCUAUAAUAAAAUGCACAGAUGAUAUCACUGCAGAAAAAAUGACCCAUACAAAAGAGGUUAAUAGUUUUCUUUAUUAUUUAUUGACACACAUAUGCAGGUUCUUUAACCUCAUUGUCUUUCCAGAACAAAGUCAAUGUAUCUUGCACUUUAAUAGAGUUCUUAUAUUAUAAAUUUGGGAAAUGAAAACAAGGAAUACAUUUUUUCAAUUCUUCUGUAUUAUAAUUAUUUCAGGUUUUCUGAUAAUGAUUUUUGUUUGCACAAUUUGUUGAAUACUAAAUAUUGGUAAAUCUAAUGCAAGAUGAACUCAUUGAGCUAGUGAAACAUAUAAGAGAUACAUUAAAAAGGUUUGAUGUCAUACAACAUCUAUUACUGUUCUGGUUUUGGUUUGGGAUUUAGUUGUUUGUUUUUGGGUGUUUUUAGUUGUUGUUUGGUUUGGUUUCUUUUCAUAUUAGUAAGAAUUACAGUAACACAAAUUUGGUCUUGAAAAGUUUGUGACUUUACUUGCUUUAUCCCGGGCCACUUCUAUGCCAUUAUUCACUGGGUAAUUUCCAAAAGUUGAGUUGGGGUUAUUCUCCUUUAUCUGGAUUUAUUGAGAUCAAACUCCUUCUAUUUUUUAAGAAUUUGGGUCUAUUUGAGAAGAAUGGAAUACUUGCAGUAACAAGAUGACAUGUAUUUUGAGUGGAAAGACAAAUGGAUGAAAAACCUGGCAUACCUGUUGAACAUAGUUAAGUAUUUUUCUAGGUGGAGUGCUUCAUAAGCAAGAGACGCUGAGGGUAAUUUCAUUCUGCAUAGGUUUCAUGACUGGUUUGCUUUAAAACAUGAAAUCUCUUUUGGCAGUUCUGCCUUCAUUCCAGGUCUCAAUUUCCUUUUUACAAAGGCACAAUUCCUGUCAUGGCUUGCUGAGGAAAGUUUUAACAACAUGACUGCUUGACAUGGUAACAAAUGAUGGGAUUUUUAUUCUUUGAAAGACUUUUUCUUACAUCUAGAUCAGUGUGUAAUGGCAGCAUGGCAGCAUGAUGAGGUCUAAAAGUUUUGGCAGUAUUAGUGUUUCAAUCCCUCAUGAGUAAUCAGACUAAAAGUCAAUCGCCCAGGUCACACUGAGUUUAAAUACACCAGACAAGGAAACAAAAACUUCAAGGAUUUUUAGGAGUUCUAAGAAAACUUGUGGUUGCCCCUUGUAUAGCUAUCGUCACAUUCAACCCAUACCAACUAAUAAUUCAAAAAGAAACUGCAAAAGGCAAAAAUGAAAAAAAAAAAAAGAAAA